UACAGAUCGAUGAUGUUCUUAUCUGAAAUAAACAGUUUGGAUGUGUUUGGAUGCUACCUAUUUUUCAUUUUUCAUUUGGGGUUAGCUAGGCGUUGCUCCAACACCUAUCACAAAUAUGAGGUGUUUUUGAAAAUCUGAACCGUUUAGAAGACUCGCAGUCACAAAAAAUAAAAAAUAAGAAAAAAUACAAAUGUGUCAAAUUUGAGGCCAGUUGGAUACUUGAAUGGGCCACAAUCUCAUAUUUUAUUCUAGCAGUCAGUAUGUCAGCCCUUGUGGGGAGAAAAAUGUGUUAAAACACCUUUUUAUUCAUUCAAUAGAAUUGUUGGGAGCAAACCAUGGUGCAAGAAUCACGCAAUCAGAUAAUUCUAACCCUUUAAAUGGGGCCAAUUUUUUACAACCAUUUAAUGAGUCAUAGCUCACAUGGUCAGAAUAAUCAAAACCAAAGUACUACUUUGGAAUCAUAAACAAUACAAAGUGGGAUCUAUCUACUAGAUGUUUCAAAAUGAUUGGACCUAAUUUUGUUUCUCUGCUCAAUCUUGAUUUUCCGUUUUCAUUGUUAUUGAUUAGAUGCUUAGGAUCACCCAAUUGACAUGAUUUCUGCACCGUGGCUUUCUCCAAGUUGUAUGAAUGAAUGAACGGUUCAGAUUGAUGAUAGGUCACCCUAUGUGUCAUUUAAAACGUUGGGGGACAUUGUAUGGAAAAUGAUGAAGUGCAAUUGUGGUGCAAACAACCUUUAUCGGCUCCGUCAUGAUGUAAAUGGCUGCUAGCUUGUUGAUGGGUAAUGGGAAACUAGCAAAUGUUUUAUUACCUUUAACCAGUGUUCGAAAUAUCGGUAUAGUUAAUCGUGUUAUGUAUCGCACCCUUGGGAUACGGAUACGUAUCGGUUAUCGCAUGGGAUAUAUCGGUUGUAUCACGUAACGUAUCGCUGUUAUUGGAAACAUGGGAAAACAUUGGAAAUUGGUCAAUUUUUUCAAUGAAAUUUCAGCAAUUGUUAAAAAAGACAUCAAUACACACUUACAAAUCAAAACAUUACAAAAAACAA